rnacentral:rRNA from 1 species
GUGGCGACCGGCGCACGGGUGAGUAACGCGUAUGCAACCUACCUUACACUGGGGGAUAGCCCGAAGAAAUUCGGAUUAAUACCCCAUAGUAUUAUCGAGAGGCAUUUUUUGAUAAUUAAAGCUCCGGCGGUGUAAGAUGGGCAUGCGUCCCAUUAGCUAGAUGGUGAGGUAACGGCUCACCAUGGCUACGAUGGGUAGGGGGCCUGAGAGGGUGGUCCCCCACACUGGUACUGAGACACGGACCAGACUCC